rnacentral:rRNA from 1 species
ACUCCUACGGGAGGCAGCAGUAAGGAAUAUUGGACAAUGGGCGAAAGCCUGAUCCAGCCAUCCCGCGUGCAGGAAGAAUGCCCUAUGGGUUGUAAACUGCUUUUACAAGGGAAGAAACCCUGGGAUUUAUCCCGGGCUGACGGUACCUUGCGAAUAAGCACCGGCUAACUCCGUGCCAGCAGCCGCGGUAA